rnacentral:rRNA from 1 species
CCUACGGGAGGCAGCAGUGGGGAAUAUUCGGCAAUGGGCGCAAGCCUGACCCAGCAACGCCGCGUGAAGGAAGAAGGCUUUCGGGUUGUAAACCUCUUUUCUCAGGGACGAAGCAAGUCACUGUACAUUAGGAAUACGCCUCGUCUAACUACGUGCCAGCAGCCGCGGUAAUACGUAGGUGGCAAGCGUUAUCCGGAUUUACUGGGUGUAAAGGGCGUGUAGGCGGGACUGCAAGUCAGAUGUGAAAACCACGGGCUCAACCUGUGGCCUGCAUUUGAAACUGUAGUUCUUGAGUACUGGAGAGGCAGACGGAAGUCCUAGUGUAGCGGUGAAAUGCGUAGAUAUUAGGAGGAACACCAGUGGCGAAGGCGGUCUGCUGGACAGCAACUGACGCUGAGGCGCGAAAGCGUGGGGAGCAAACAGGAUUAGAUACCCCAGUAGUC